rnacentral:tRNA from 1 species
ACUUAAAUAGUUUAAUAAAAAAUAUGAAUUUGUGGUGUUUAAGAUGCAAUAUUUUGCUUUAAGUA